CUACGGGGGGCUGCAGUGGGGAAUAUUGGACAAUGGGGGCAACCCUGAUCCAGCCAUGCCGCGUGAAUGAAGAAGGCCUUCGGGUUGUAAAGUUCUUUUAAUAGUGAAGAUAAUGACGGUAACUAUAGAAAAAGCACCGGCUAACUCCGUGCCAGCAGCCGCGGUAAUACGGAGGGUGCGAGCGUUGUUCGGAUUUACUGGGCGUAAAGGGUGCGUAGGCGGAUAUAAAGGUCAGAUGUGAAAUCCCGGGGCUCAACCCCGGAACUGCAUUUGAAACCGUAUGUCUAGAGUGUGAGAGAGGAUGAUGGAAUUUCUAGUGUAGCAGUGAAAUGCGUAGAUAUUAGAAGGAACACCAGAGGCGAAGGCGAUCAUCUGGCUCAUUACUGACGCUGAGGCACGAAAGUGUGGGUAGCAAACAGGAUUAGAUACCCCCGUAGUC
rnacentral:rRNA from 1 species